UACAGAGGGUGCGAGCGUUAAUCGGAAUUACUGGGCGUAAAGCGUACGUAGGCGGCUUUGUAAGUUAGAGGCGAAAGCCCGGGGCUCAACCCCGGAAUUGCCUUUAAGACUGCAUCGCUUGAACGUCGGAGAGGUGAGUGGAAUUCCGAGUGUAGAGGUGAAAUUCGUAGAUAUUCGGAAGAACACCAGUGGCGAAGGCGACUUACUGGACGAUUGUUGACGCUGAGGUGCGAAAGCGUGGGGAGCAAACAGG
rnacentral:rRNA from 1 species